rnacentral:rRNA from 1 species
GAACGAACGCUGGCGGCAUGCCUAACACAUGCAAGUCGAACGAGACCUUCGGGUCUAGUGGCGCACGGGUGCGUAACGCGUGGGAACCUGCCCUUAGGUUCGGAAUAACUCCCCGAAAGGGGUGCUAAGACCGGAUAAUGUCUUCGGACCAAAGAUUUAUCGCCUUUGGAUGGGCCCGCGUUGGAUUAGCUAGUUGGUAGGGUAAAAGCCUACCAAGGCGACGAUCCAUAGCUGGUCUGAGAGGAUGAUCAGCCACACUGGGACUGAGACACGGCCCAGACUCCUACGGGAGGCAGCAGUGGGGAAUAUUGGACAAUGGGCGAAAGCCUGAUCCAGCAAUGCCGCGUGAGUGAUGAAGGCCUUAGGGUUGUAAAGCUCUUUUACCCGGGAUGAUAAUGACAGUACCGGGAGAAUAAGCUCCGGCUAACUCCGUG